rnacentral:rRNA from 1 species
UACGAAGGGGGCUAGCGUUGCUCGGAAUCACUGGGCGUAAAGGGCGCGUAGGCGGCCUGCUAAGUCGAACGUGAAAUCCCCGGGCUCAACCCGGGAACUGCGUCCGAGACUGGCAGGCUCGAAUCCGGGAGAGGGAUGUGGAAUUCCAGGUGUAGCGGUGAAAUGCGUAGAUAUCUGGAGGAACAUCGGUGGCGAAGGCGGCAUCCUGGACCGGUAUUGACGCUGAGGCGCGAAAGCCAGGGGAGCAAACGGG